GACGAACGCUGGCGGCGUGCUUAACACAUGCAAGUCGAACGGAAAGGCCCUGCUUUUGUGGGGUGCUCGAGUGGCGAACGGGUGAGUAACACGUGAGUAACCUGCCCUUGACUUUGGGAUAACUUCAGGAAACUGGGGCUAAUACCGGAUAGGAGCUCCUGCUGCAUGGUGGGGGUUGGAAAGUUUCGGCGGUUGGGGAUGGACUCGCGGCUUAUCAGCUUGUUGGUGGGGUAGUGGCUGACCAAGGCUUUGAAGGGUAGCCGGCCUGAGAGGGUGACCGGCCACAUUGGGACUGAGAUACGGCCCAGACUCCUACGGGAGGCAGAAGUGGGGAAUAUUGCACAAUGGGCGGAAGCCUGAUGCAGCAACGCCGCGUGCGGGAUGACGGCCUUCGGGUUGUAAACCGCUUUCGCCUGUGACGAAGCGUGAGUGACGGUAAUGGGUAAAGAAGCACCGGCUAACUACGUG
rnacentral:rRNA from 1 species